UAUAUUAACCCUUAGAGGCCUGAGGCUAUUUUGGCUGUUUUUGAGUACUUUUGAUUUUGCCUUUAUAUGCUAUAUAAAGAAAUGUUUACUAUGCCCAUGUUUGGGUUCGGUUAUUUCAACUU